UUUACCAUGCCGCCCGUCGGUUUCCGAGAGGAACUAACAGGGAAUUCGCACGCUUUGUCUGCACAAGGCCAAAACGAAACUGCCCCCGCAACUGUAGGCAUCGAGCCUGCUCCAUGACUGCCACUGGAUUAAGCUCCGGGAAGGCCGGAGCCUGGCGAUGACAUGCCAGUCAGGAGACCUGCCGACCUGCUUCAACCCACU
rnacentral:ncRNA from 24 species